UGAGGAAUAUUGGUCAAUGGACGAGAGUCUGAACCAGCCAAGUAGCGUGAAGGAUAACUGCCCUAUGGGUUGUAAACUUCUUUUAUAUGGGAAUAAAAUGUUUCACGUGUGGGAUUUUGUAUGUACCAUAUGAAUAAGGAUCGGCUAACUCCGUGCCCGCAGCCGCGGUAAUACGGAGGAUCCGAGCGUUAUCCGGAUUUAUUGGGUUUAAAGGGAGCGUAGGUGGAUUGUUAAGUCAGUUGUGAAAGUUUGCGGCUCAACCGUAAAAUUGCAGUUGAAACUGGCAGUCUUGAGUACAGUAGAGGUGGGCGGAAUUCGUGGUGUAGCGGUGAAAUGCUUAGAUAUCACGAAGAACUCCGAUUGCGAAGGCAGCUCACUGGACUGCAACUGACACUGAGGCUCGAAAGUGUGGGUAUCAAACAGG
rnacentral:rRNA from 1 species